UACGUAGGUGGCAAGCGUUGUCCGGAUUUAUUGGGUUUAAAGGGUGCGUAGGCGGCCGCCUAAGUCAGUUGUGAAAUACCCCGGCUCAACCGGGGGGGUGCGAUUGAUACUGGGCGGCUCGAGUAACAGCGAGGUUGGCGGAAUUGACGGUGUAGCGGUGAAAUGCAUAGAUAUCGUCAAGAACACCGAUAGCGAAGGCAGCCAACUAGGGGUUAACUGACGCUGAGGCACGAAAAGUGCGGGGAUCAAACAGG
rnacentral:rRNA from 1 species